UACGUAGGGUGCAAGCGUUGUCCGGAAUUAUUGGGCGUAAAGGAGCUCGUAGGCGGUCUGUCGCGUCUGCUGUGAAAACUCGGGGCUUAACCCCGGGCCUGCAGUGGGUACGGGCAGACUAGAGUGCGGUAGGGGAGACUGGAAUUCCUGGUGUAGCGGUGAAAUGCGCAGAUAUCAGGAGGAACACCGGUGGCGAAGGCGGGUCUCUGGGCCGUAACUGACGCUGAGGAGCGAAAGCGUGGGGAGCGAACAGG
rnacentral:rRNA from 1 species